CUCACCGUAAAAGGAAAAUCAUCAUCCUUUUGCUCCCCGCCUCCCGUAAAAUGGCAGGCACGUCGCCAGUGUGCGCCCAUUGUUUCUCACUUCUACCGUCGACUCUCCUGUCUUCUCCUCAACGCCUGCAUCGCACUUCCCUCCCCUCCCCUCGCCAUCUCUGACAACUGCCGUCCUCCUUAAACGGUGGCACCAGCGCUGAGCCAAUGACCAGCCCAUGGCCUAGGCCAUUAUACAAGAUGCAGAGCUGCCGCGUGAGGAUUUUGUAGCUAUCCGACCGUCGCCGUGUUCUCGCACGACGUUGUGACGCGCCGGCGACCAAUCGCGAUGUUGUGUGCUCCGCCGUCGUCCCUCACCGCACGUCCUCGAGGCAUUGGCAGUCGUGUGCAUCUUCCGGCGCAUGCGCCGUGGGAAAGGCAUCGUCCUUUCCUCAGGAAGAAAUCGAGCGCUGCUUGGUCUAGGCUUGCUUGGCUCCACGCUGCCGUCAGCUUGCGCUCGCCUUCCACGCCACCGGCACCCUUCUCUGAGCCGAUGCUGCAUCUCAACUAUUCGGCCAUCCUCCUCCGUGCUGUCGCAUGAUCGAGGACAGAUGGAAAGUCAUCGCCUAGAGCCCUGCCUUACCAGCUAAUGCAUUCGUAGCUUCUGCACAAAUUGGGGACACUCCUACAGAAUCUGCCACCAGCGGUCUGAAUCAGGCCUUCCCUAGACUCCGUUAUGCAAUCUACAUGCUAGAGUUGGGCCAAGAAUAGCUCAAGAAGUGUUGUUUUUCCUACGCGCAAUGAUGUUGGCUGCUUAAAGAAAAAGGAAUUAUCUCUAGGUAUUUUCGCAUUCUGAAACAUAAAUUCUUUGGAUGUUUGAAUACGGCACAUGAUCUAGCGUGGAGCUGUUAUUUUUCUAUUGCCAUAGGAGUAGGGUAACAUAUAUAUAGCUAUUGGUGGCGCCUCCCAGCUUUAUUUGCAUUCCUUUCAUCACUUUCAUGUUUAUUUUUCCCGUUGCAAAUGUUGUGACAUCGUUGUUUAUAUUUGAUUGAUUAAAAAAAAGCAGAAAACCAUACUCGAUGACCUUCCAUGUCUAUUUUAUUUACCUUCCAUGUUUAUGUUUAUUUAUUUUUUUUUACACUUUGCCCAAGGGCCAACUGAUUCUUACAAUGAUGGCAAUAAAGACAUGAAUAGUUACAAAAUUAAUCACAGUAAUAUAGAUGUGUUUUCGGGUAAUGCCAUUGCAAUUACUAUUGUUACUGAUAACAACUCCAACCUCCUAAUUCAUAGAUAAUUCCCCAAUGCAACAGUUAAGAAUUUUUUUAACACAGCUAAGGAAUGUAUUAAUAUCAUUGUUCAUGUGUUUGUUCUUUUUGAGCCCUCUACUGUCCUGCAUAUCAUCUCUGCGUGCGCAGCGAAGCGCGCGGAACCUCCUAGUAUGUAUAGUCAGCUAUAGCAGAACCAUACAUAAUUCACAGAUGUAUCCUUUAACAAAAAUAUAUACAUCUAUAAUCAGCUAUGGCAGAACCAUUUUACCUGUGAGGGUCUCAACUUGAUGAGUUAGGGGGGAUAAUGUAAGACUACAUUCAUCUUUAAUAUCUCGUUCUGUAGUUACCACCCACAGGUAAUCUAUGCUGCACUUUAGUUGCUUCUUUCUUACACACUAUUAUUUCUGAUCCAAUAUAAACACCAAAGAAUGGGCAUGCCAAUACAACUGAGAAGAAAGAAUUGGGAAACCAAUCGGCAAUUUUGAGGUGUUUCAGCGCACCACUUAGCAACAUGGAAUCCUACUUUGCCGCACCAAAGUUGAAAUGCAUAAUCACGCAGGUGUCGCUGUCUUUCCGCCUUCUGCCACAUGGACCCCUUUGAAGUUAAGGAUUCCUGUUAGGCCUCGUCCUUUAGCAAGCUGCUCGAUUUCAUUGAGCUUCAAUUUAAGAUACUCCAAUUCUUUUGCUAAACUCUCUUCUCUUUGUUUCAAUUCCUUGGCGUCAACAAAAAUAAUUGUUAAGCUAAGUUGCCACUUGUACAGUUGAAAGCAAAAGUAACAAAAAAAAAAACAUGUCUUUGGAUCGGUGCAUAUGUCAAUUUUCCAUGAGCAUAUAUGACAGGCCUAUUCAAUUUUGCAGGCCCUGAACCAUACAAAAUAAUUUCCCGACCUCAUAAUUCAACUAGGAGUGAUGCAUUCACAAAAAAUUUCAGUUGAUGUCUUGCUGUCGGAAAUGCCAUCAAUAGCCAAUUUUAGACAUGUCUUGCUGUCGGAAAUGCCAUCAAUAGCCAAUUUUAGACAGUGAUUAGUAAUCCCCAUUUUUGGGUUGAUCCCUGGGCCAACUCCGUUGCUUCCCAGGCAAAGUCGUAAAAGCAGUGAUGACAUACUUUUUGACUUCUCUCAUAAGGACAGCUUCUAAUAUGUUGUUGCAUAAACCCUAUAGGCUAUAACUCAUUACUAAUUUUCCUGAACAUGCAUUGUUUAGUCAUAAAUCAUUCCUCUGAAAAAGGCAUAAAUCCAUAAUAGUAACGUAGCAUAUGCAGCCCAUCAUAGAUCAUGACCAAUAAUUCCUGGCAGGCAAACUACACUCAGGAUGUCAAUUACUUCCUUAUGUAAUAUGCUCAUUAUGAAACUGCACAUCUCCUAAUAUCUCUGUGUGUUUUCCCUUUAUAAAUUUUCUGAAAACAAACUACAAUUAACGUGUUCAAACACUAAAACAGUGCAAAUGGCAUUGAGUGAAAGACACUACCUCAAGUUCCUGUUUACGAGCUUCCUCCUUUCUAGCCUCUGACCUUGCACUUCUUUGAACCUCAAAAAUUAAAGCAGCAACGGCUACC